UUUCCGUAGGUGAACCUGCGGAAGGAUCAUUACAUUCAGUAGCCCAGCUACUUGUUUACACCCUUGUUUUUUUGCGUACCUAUCGUUUCCUCGGUGGGUUCGCCCACCGAUUGGACAAAUUUAAACCCUUUGCAGUUGAAAUCAGCGUCUGAAAAAACUUAAUAGUUACAACUUUCAACAACGGAUCUCUUGGUUCUGGCAUCGAUGAAGAACGCAGC
rnacentral:misc_RNA from 1 species